rnacentral:tRNA from 1 species
GACAAGGUGGCCGAGCAGGUGGCGGAUUGUAGCUCCGUGGACGAAGGUAUGCCUUCUCUUGUCU